GAAGCUGUAUUUUAGUCGUAACAAGGUUUUGGAAAACCCUUAGAAAGAGUAAAAGUGGCUAUAACAACUGAUAACUAAAUUUACCAAUGAUCGAUCUUCAUCGUUCCUUUUUCUAAAAGGUUGAGCUGCAUCUUGAAAGCAUUGGCAAGAAUAUGGGGUUCAUGACCAGCUCCUCUAGCUAAACAGUAGUUUUCGGCAAUAUCGAAAUACUCUCUGAGCAGAGGCUUAUAGUCAGGAUGAGCACACUUGUCAAUAACCUCACGAGCACGUUCGGUAGGAGACAAGCCUCGUAAAUCAGCCAAUCCUUGCUCUGUAACCAAAAUAUCCAAAUCAUGUUCGGUUUGGUCAACAUGGGUAGCCAUAGGAACAAUACAAGUGAUACCAGUAGGAUCCUUCUUCGAAGGACGAACCGAUGGUGUAUGCAUAAUACUUAAUUUCGCAUUACGCAAGAAAUCAGCAGAACCACCUAAACCGUUCAACAUUCUGCUUCCCAAAACAUUUGUACUAUUGGCAUGAGCGUAAAUAUCGGCUUCCACAGGAGUAUUCAUAGCGAUGCAACCAAGACGGCGGAUAAUUUCAGGGUGAUUGGAAAUUACUUGAGGGCGUAACAAAAUUCUUUCCUUGUAGUAAUCAUAGUUUGAGUAGAAUUUUUCAAAUCCCUGAGGAGAAAAACGGGUUGAGGUAGCAGUAGCAAAACGUAACUUUUCAGAGUCAAAGAGAGGCAAGAAAGUAUCUUGUAAGACUUCUGUCCACACUUCGAGAUCUUUAAAGGGAGAAUGGGCAAGACCACCGAUAAUAGCGUUGGCAAUGUUUCCAAUACCGGAUUGCAAAGGAUGAAGAUUUUUGGGAAGACGCCCUAC